rnacentral:rRNA from 1 species
CUGCCAGACUCCUACGGGAGGCAGCAGUGGGGAAUAUUGGGCAAUGGGCGCAAGCCUGACCCAGCAACGCCGCGUGAAGGAAGAAGGCUUUCGGGUUGUAAACUUCUUUUGACAGGGAAGAGCAGAAGACGGUACCUGUCGAAUAAGCCACGGCUAACUACGUGCCAGCAGCCGCGGUAAUACGUAGGUGGCAAGCGUUGUCCGGAUUUACUGGGUGUAAAGGGCGUGUAGCCGGGCUUACAAGUCAGAUGUGAAAUCCGGGGGCUCAACCCCCGAACUGCAUUUGAAACUGGGGAUCUAGAGUGUGCGAGAGGUAUGCGGAAUGCGUGGUGUAGCGGUGAAAUGCAUAGAUAUCACGCAGAACCCCGAUUGCGAAGGCAGCAUACCGGUGCACAACUGACGCUCAGGCACGAAAGCGUGGGUAUCGAACAGGAUUAGAUACCCCCGUA